GAAAUGUAUUUUUCAUUGUUGAAAAGAGAGAUGAAAGGCGAGACACGAAAUAUCACAGAGCCAUUUGAUCUUUGAUUUCAUCUUUAUUUACAAAACAAAUACUACGCUCGGCAAUUAUCGGCUCUGUACGUCGUGCUGACGGCUCCCGACGGUUUUGCUCGGAUACGUAUCGGAAAUUAUCGCUUGCCCGCCACAUGUGAUUUUCAAUAUAUUUAUCAAUUUUUUGACCAUAAAAACAUGAAAAUAGUCGAAAUAUUAUGUUUUACUGACUUAUAAAAAGUUAUGAAUAAAAGGGAAAGUCAUUGAACCGUACUGCUGUCUAUUUUGGCCUUUAUUAUUUACUGUAUUCCGUAUUUUCCAUAUGGAGUCAGCGUUUAUGAGUCACCAAAAUUCGACCUUGACAAGAUGGUAAAACUAAAGGUUUAUGUUCACCAGAGCGUUGAGGUCCCUGUGUUGGUCAUAAACUCAUAGAAAUGAAUGGAGAAAGUGUUGUUACAGCAUCUCAUCAUCAUAUUGUUGAUAUUUUACAAACAACUAUUGGAGAGGUUAGUGAUGAGAAAUUUAAUUAUUUAUUUUUAAUGUUUUAUUCCAUUUCCUCUGCGUAAUUAUAGCGAGGCUUGCAAGUUGCAAUCUAA